rnacentral:rRNA from 1 species
AGAAUCAACGCUGGCGGCGUGCCUAACACAUGCAAGUCGAACGAGAAAGGGUAGCAAUACCUGAGUAAAGUGGCGCACGGGUGAGUAACACGUGACUAACCUACCCUGGAGUGGGGGAGUAACUGAGGGGAAACCUUAGCUAAUACCGCAUAAUACCUACGGGUCAAAGGAGCAAUUCGCUUCAGGAGGGGGUCGCGGCCGAUUAGUUAGUUGGCGGGGUAAUGGCCCACCAAGACGAUGAUCGGUAU